ensembl:lncRNA
CCGGCUCCACCGGAACCGGGAUUUUUUUUUUUAGGAAGAGCUCGAUCGAACCGCAAGGCGGAGGAGGAUUUGUGACAGCGCGCAAGGACACGCCUUCUCAUUAAACCGGCAGUUUGUGCGGCUCCACCUUGCCGUCACUGCCGUGUCGUCAGUAGCGAAACGAACCGCACCGCUGCCUCUUCUACAGUAGUUGUUAUACUCCCCUCUACUUAAUUAACCUUGUACGUAUUAUUUUGUCCCCGACGGUUGUGGUGUUCUGCGUCAAAAAUAGCAACAGAGAUGUAAAAGCAAGUUACACUACCGCAUCUUCCUCGUCUUUUGAUAUGCAGCUACUGACAUAACCAGGAGCGCUGGUGACAGUGCAGGGGAAGAUGGACAUCCAGAGUGGCAUACAGAUGGCAAUGGAGACUCUCCCCUCCUUCCCCCAACAGUCGGGUACCCAUCAGCAGAGCGAGCCAGAGGACGGCCAGACAGAGGGGAGUGCCAGGCUUACCGCUGACAAUCACAGCAAGGACACCCAGCCAGCUGCUGGCCACCAAGAUGACAAAAUCUGUUUUCACAGACACUCCGAAACCAAGAAGCUACUACUACAAAAGACAUUGCGAUCUCUGGUGGACAACCAGAGACUUACACAACCAGAGACUUUACUCCCUGUAGAUGGAUUGAGUGUUUUCAACAAAGAGACAGCAAAGACAUACACACGUAAAUAUGUACAUUGCAAUUCUUUCGAAUGAGCGGUCGUUCAUGUGCAAAGUAUUUGCGUUUUAUUAGCAUAGUUAUCAGCUGUCUGUACGAUAGUGUAAUUUCUUUCUCUCCCUUUCCCGCUCUUUUGAAUCCGCCAUUUUGUGUAACAAGCCGUCAUAUCGUUUUAGUCCACUAGGGACUUUUCAUUGCAUUGUGUAGUAAUCAAUGUGUAUGCUAUCCUGUUUGUGUGUUUAUGUAAUUCUGUGAUUAUUUAGUUA